CUGGCGGCNGGCUUAACNCAUGCAAGUCGAGCGAAGCCUUCGGGCUUAGCGGCGGACGGGUGAGUAACGCGUGGGAACGUGCCCUUCACUACGGAAUAGUCCCUGGAAACGGGGUUUAAUACCGUAUACGCCCUUCGGGGGAAAGAUUUAUCGGUGAAGGAUCGGCCCGCGUCUGAUUAGGUAGUUGGUGGGGUAAUGGCCUACCAAGCCGACGAUCAGUAGCUGGUUUGAGAGGAUGAUCAGCCACACUGGGACUGAGACACGGCCCAGACUCCUACGGGAGGCAGCAGUGAGGAAUCUUGGACAAUGGGGGCAACCCUGAUCCAGCCAUGCCGCGUGAACGAUGAAGGCCUUAGGGUUGUAAAGUUCUUUCACCGGAGAAGAUAAUGACGGUAUCCGGAGAAGAAACCCCGGCUAACUCCGUGCCANCAGCCGCGGUAAUACGGAGGGUGCGAGCGUUAAUCGGAAUUACUGGGCGUAAAGGGUGCGUAGGCGGAAGCUUAAGUCUGUUGUGAAAUCCCCGGGCUCACCUGGGAAUGGCAUUGGAUAUACUGGGCAUCUAGAGUGUGGUAGANGGUAGUGGAAUUUCUGGUGUNACCGNUNAAAAUGCGUAAAUAUCNAAAGAACACCNAUGGCGAANCNACUACCUGGGCCAACACUGACGCUNANNUACNAAANCGUGGGGANCAACAGGAUUANAUACCCUGGUAGUCCNCNCCUAACCAAUGUCCACUUGCCNUUGGNGGGCUUAACCUUUCANUGACGGACCNACCCG
rnacentral:rRNA from 1 species